GUGAGUCUGGUUGAUGGAGCCAUGAUAGGGUAGAUGGUUGGAUGUCUGGAGCAGACAGUAUUGACAACAAAUGAGCAGAAGACACUGAUGAUGAAAUAGCAUGAUGAACGAAGAACUAUGAAACACACACCAUAAGAAAAGAACAAUAAAGAUGUAACAAGCAUGAUAAACAUAAGCUACGAAACACGGCCUUAUGAAACUGACAGCUUCCGCUACCUGUGUCUUAGAACAAUGCUCUUGAAAACCAGCCACCAUGCUGUGUGGAAGACCAAAGAAUCCCAUGGGGAAGCCCACAUAGAGAAGAACUGGAAGUUCCAGGCUGAAGACCUGCUGUGUUCCCAAACAGUCUGCUGGAGUUUGCUGGGGAAUCCAGACCCUGUUUGCCUAGGUAUCACCAGGGGAGGCUGCAGAACAGCAAAGAUUGCUGCCUUCUCCUUCCUCUGGAAGCUUCAUCCCAGAGGGGCACCCACCAGAUGUCAGCUGGAGCUCUCCUGUAUGAGGUGUCUGUCAACCACUGCUGGGAGAUGUCUCCCCACCAGGAGGCAUGGGGAUCAGAGACCCACUUGAGGAGGCAGUCUGUCCCUUAGCACAGUUUGAGCACUGUGCUGGGAGAUCUGCUGCUCUCUUCAGAGCCAGCAGGCAGAAAUGUUUUCAAGUCUGCUGAAGCUGUGCCCACAGCCUCCCCUUCCCCCAGAUGCUCUGUCCCAGGGAGAUGGGAUUUUUCAUCUAUAAGCCCCCGACUGGGGCUGCAUCAUCUUUCAGAGAUGUCCUGCCCAGAAAGGAGGAAUCUAGAGAGGCAGUCUGGCUACAGUGGCUUUGUGGCGUUGCAGUGGGCUCCACCCUGUCCAAACUUUCCAGUGGCUUUGUUUACACUGUGAGGGGAAAACCUCCUACUCAAGCCUCAGUAAUGGUGGAUGCCCCUCCCCCCACCAAGCUCUAGCAUCCCAGGUCAACUUCAGACUUCGGUGCUAGCGGCAACAAUUUCAAGCCAGUGGAUCUUACCUUGCUGGUCUCCUUGGGGGUGGGAUCCCCUGAGAAAGACUACUUGGUUCCCUGGUUUCAGCCCCCUUUCCAGAGGAGAGAACGGUUCUGUCUCACUGGCAUUCCAGGCCCCACUGGGUACGAAAAAAGCUCCUGCAGCUAACUCAGUGUCUGCCCAAAUGACCACCAAGUAUUUGCUUGAAACCCAGGGCCCUUGUAGUGUAGGCACCCGAGGGAAUCUCCUGGUCUGUGUAUUGUGAAGACCUUAGGAAAAGCACAUCAUCUGAGCUGGAUAACACUGUCCCUCACAGCAUUGUCCUUCGUGGCUUCCCUUGGCUAGGGGAGGGAGUUUCCUGACCCCUUGAGCUUCCUGGGUGAAACAACACCCCACGCUGCUUCUGCUCACCCUUAGUGGGCUGCACCCACUGUCUAACCAGUCCCAAUGAGAUGAACUAGGUACCUCAGCUGGACAUGGAGAAGUCACCCAUCUUCUGAGUUGGUCUCACUGGGAGCUGCAGACCAGAGCUAUUCCUAUUCAGCCAUCUUGCCUGGGAGUCCCUCUUCUCUACGUUUUAAUCUCAACAAAUUCAGAGUGAAAACUAUGGACUUGAGAAGAGCAAGUAGAGCAGGAGAAGGAAUGUCAAACCACCAAAUAUAAUUCUACAAAGCAUUGGUCUUUUUAUCUGUGUUCACAGCCCCUGGCUCAUUUCUUUAGCCACUACAGUAAAAACCACCUAGUUAAAAUUGCAGCCCCCACUGACACACUCCCUAUGCCUUCCCUGAUUUGUUUUUCUCCAUAGCACUAACUGUCAGGUGCCAUAUUACAUAUUUAUUCAUAUAGCUUGCUUAUUUUUAUCCACCCUAAUAAAAUGUAAGUUCCAUGAG